GUGCUCACUUCAGUAUAUAUACUAAAAUUGUAAUGGAACAGAAAAGCGUUACCAUGGCCCCUAUGCUAGGGUGACAUACAAAUUCGUGAACCAUCACACGCCAUA
ensembl:snRNA U6 U6 spliceosomal RNA